GGCUUUGUAUUGUAGCCAAUGAAGUUAAUCUGAGGCAUGAUUAUUGCUAAUUGAAAAAAAACAGGUGGUAUUUGAGAUUUAACAGCUAAUUAUAGAAGAUGCAGCCAUGGU